UACGUAGGGGGCAAGCGUUGUCCGGAAUCAUUGGGCGUAAAGAGCGUGUAGGCGGCUCGGUAAGUCCGCUGUGAAAGUCCAGGGCUCAACCCUGGAAUGCCGGUGGAAACUGUCGAGCUAGAGUCCGGAAGAGGCGAGUGGAAUUCCUGGUGUAGCGGUGAAAUGCGCAGAUAUCAGGAGGAACACCAAUGGCGAAGGCAGCUCGCUGGGACGGUACUGACGCUGAUGCGCGAAAGCCAGGGGAGCGAACGGG
rnacentral:rRNA from 1 species